UGACAAUUCAGUAGGGACCU
rnacentral:siRNA from 1 species